UAUUGGGCGUAAAGCGCGCGUAGGCGGUUUUUUAAGUCUGAUGUGAAAGCCCACGGCUCAACCGUGGAGGGUCAUUGGAAACUGGAAAACUUGAGUGCAGAAGAGGAAAGUGGAAUUCCAUGUGUAGCGGUGAAAUGCGCAGAGAUAUGGAGGAACACCAGUGGCGAAGGCGACUUUCUGGUCUGUAACUGACGCUGAUGUGCGAAAGCGUGGGGAUCAAACAGGAUUAGAUACCCUGGUAGUCCACGCCGUAAACGAUGAGUGCUAAGUGUUAGGGGGUUUCCGCCCCUUAGUGCUGCAGCUAACGCAUUAAGCACUCCGCCUGGGGAGUACGACCGCAAGGUUGAAACUCAAAGGAAUUGACGGGGACCCG
rnacentral:rRNA from 1 species